rnacentral:rRNA from 1 species
ACGGAGGAUGCGAGCGUUAUCCGGAUUUAUUGGGUUUAAAGGGUGCGCAGGCGGCGUGUCAAGUCAGCGGUAAAAUGUCGGGGCUCAACCCCGGCCGGCCGUUGAAACUGGCGUGCUCGAGUUGGAGAGAAGUAUGCGGAAUUCGUGGUGUAGCGGUGAAAUGCAUAGAUAUCACGAAGAACCCCGAUUGCGAAGGCAGCAUACCGGCUCCACACUGACGCUGAGGCACGAAAGCGUGGGUAUCGAA